UGGGGAAUAUUGCACAAUGGGGGAAACCCUGAUGCAGCGACGCCGCGUGAGCGAAGAAGGCUUUCGAGUCGUAAAGCUCUGUCCUAUGAGAAGAUAAUGACGGUAUCAUAGGAGGAAGCCCUGGCUAAAUACGUGCCAGCAGCCGCGGUAAUACGUAUGGGGCGAGCGUUGUCCGGAAUUACUGGGCGUAAAGAGCUCGUAGGCGGUUUGUCACGUCGUCUGUGAAAUCCUAGGGCUUAACCCUGGACGUGCAGGCGAUACGGGCUGACUUGAGUACUACAGGGGAGACUGGAAUUUCUGGUGUAGCGGUGGAAUGCACAGAUAUCAGGAAGAACACCGAUGACGAAGGCAGGUCUCUGGGUAGUAACUGACGCUGGGGGGCGAAAGCAUGGGUAGCGAACAGG
rnacentral:rRNA from 1 species